rnacentral:rRNA from 1 species
AUUGUCAAGCUACAAAGGGUACAUGGUGGAUGUCUAGGCGCUGAGAGACGAAGAAGGACGUGGAAGACUGCGAUAAGCUUCGGGGAGCUGUCAAACAAGCUUUGAGCCGGAGAUUUCCGAAUGGGGAAACCUACUGUGGGUUUAUGCCAUAGUAUCGGUAUCUGAAUAUAUAGGAUAUCGAAGGUAACGGAGAGAAGUGAAACAUCUCAGUAACUCCAGGAAAAGAAAGAAAUUUGAUUUCCUUAGUAGCGGCGAGCGAAACGGAAAAAGCCCAAACCGAUUGUGUGUCAAACCCUUGUGUGUUGCACAGUCGGGGUCGUGGGGAUUGUGAUAGGCAGGACAAGGACUGUCUGGAAAGUUACAAAUGUAAUUUAUAGCUGAAUGGUGCAGGAAAGCCCAACCAUAGAAGGUGAUAGUCCUGUAGGCGAAAUAAAUUACACUUUCUUUACAAUUUCCCAAGUAACACCCGUCUCGUGAAAGCGGGUGUGAAUUUAGGGAGUCCACUCUCUAAGGCUAAAUACUACUCAGCGACCGAUAGCGCACAAGUAGCGCGAGCGAAAGAUGAAAAGAACCCCUGUUAGGGGAAUGAAAAGAACCUGAAACCGUGUACUUACGAGCGGUGGGUGCACUAUGAUUCCAUUUCGAUGGAAUAACGUGUAACCGCGUGCCUUUUGCAUAAUGAACCGGCGACUUACUGUGCAUUGCUUGGUUAAGUCUUUUAUGGACGGAGCCGUAGCGAAAGCGAGUGUGAAAUGCGCGAUUAUGUAGUGCAUAGUAGACCCGAAACCAGGUGAUCUACACUUGGUCAGGAUGAAGCGAAUGUAAAAGUUCGUGGAGGUCCGAACGCACUUGCGUUGAAAAGCGAGGCGAUGAACUGAGUGGAGGAGUAAAAGUCUAAUCAAACCUGGUGAUAGCUGGUUCUCCUCGAAAUAGCUUUAGGGCUAGCCCUAUGUAUUAUGCGACGGGGGUAGAGAUACUGAAUGAAUGUUGGGGCCCACCAGGCUACCAAAUUCAAUCAAACUCCGAAUACCGUUGUACGAACCAUAGGAGUCAGACAGUGGGGGAUAAACUUCAUUUGUCAAAAGGGAAACAACCCAGACCGACAGCUAAGGUCCCUAAAAUAGACUAAGUGAUAAAGGAAGUGAGAGUGCGAAGACAGUUAGGAUGUUGGCUUAGAAGCAGCAAUCAUUUAAAAAGUGCGUAAUAGCUUACUAACCGAGCAUUCUUGCGCCGAAAAUAUUACGGGACUCAAGUCUAUUACCGAAGCUUCGGAUUUUUGAAAUUAUGCGUAAUUUCAAAAGUGGUAGGGGAGCGUUCUAUGGUAGGUUGAAGAGAGACUGAAAAGACUCUUGGACGAUAUAGAAGUGAUAAUGCCGGUAUAAGUAGCGAUAAUAUAAGUGAGAAUCUUAUUCGCCGCAAGCCUAAGGUUUCCUGGGGAAGGUAAAUCCGCCCAGGGUUAGCCGGAGCCUAAGUCAAGGCUGAAAGGCGUAGACGAUGGACAACAGGUUAAUAUUCCUGUGCCACCGUAAUAGCGUUGAGCAUGGGGGGACAGAGAUGUGAAGGUUAGCAAGUCUAAUAGAUACGGCUUGUUCAAGCCGGAGAUGUUGUCUCAGGUAAAUCCGAGACGUAUGGCGUCGAAGGUGAGUACGUGGGCGUAUGCCUGUAAGUAACCGGAGCGUCUCUCAAGAAAAGCCUCGUUUGCGAGCUAUUAUGGUGUCCGUACUAAAACUGACACAGGUAGGCGGGGAGAGGAUCCUAAGGCGCUCGAGAGAACCCUCGUUAAGGAACUCGGCAAAAUCACUCCGUAACUUCGGGAGAAGGAGUGCCCCGAAUUUAUUCGGGGCCGCAGUGAAAAGGUCUGGGCGACUGUUUACUAAAAACACAAGUCUCUGCUAAGAUUUAUAAUCAACGUAUAGAGACUGACGCGUGCUCGAUGCCAGAACGUUAAGGGGAUGGGUUAGUGUCCGAAAGGAUGCGAAGCUCAGAACCGAAGCGCUGGUGAAUGGCGGCUCUAACUAUGAGAGUCCUAAGGUAGCGAAGUUCCUUGUCGGAUAAUUACCGACGUGCAUGAAUCGCGUAACGACUUAGAUACUGUCUCAACGAGGGACUCGGCGAAAUUGUAGUCGUGGUGAAGAUGCCACGUACCCGCGGCAAGACGGAAAGACCCCGUGAACCUUUACUGUAGCCUAUUAUUGGGUUUUGUCACAGUAUGCGUAGGAUAGGUGGGAGACU